UACGGAGGGUGCAAGCGUUAUCCGGAUUCACUGGGUUUAAAGGGCGCGUAGGUGGGCUAGUAAGUCCGUGGUGAAAUCUCCGAGCUUAACUUGGAAACUGCCAUGGAUACUAUAGGUCUUGAAUACUGUGGAGGUCAGCGGAAUAUGUCAUGUAGCGGUGAAAUGCUUAGAUAUGACAUAGAACACCAAUUGCGAAGGCAGCUGGCUACACAAAUAUUGACACUGAGGCACGAAAGCGUGGGGAUCAAACAGG
rnacentral:rRNA from 1 species